rnacentral:rRNA from 1 species
CGCGUAGACGGUUUUGUAAGUCAGAUGUGAAAUCCCUGGGCUCAACCUGGGAACUGCAUUUGAAACUGCAUGGCUAGAGUAUGGUAGAGGGAAGUGGAAUUUCCGGUGUAGCGGUGAAAUGCGUAGAUAUCGGAAGGAACACCAGUGGCGAAAGCGACUUCCUGGACCAAUACUGACGUUCAUGUGCGAAAGCGUGGGGAGCAAACAGGAUUAGAUACCCUGGUAGUCCACGCCAUAAACGACGACAACUAGAUGUUGGGAGGGUCUGCCUCUCGGUGUCGCAGCUAACGCGUUAAGUUGUCCGCCUGGGGAGUACGGCCGCAAGGUUGAA